GCUCAGAACGAACGCUGGCGGCAAGCCUAACACAUGCAAGUCGAACGAGAUCUUCGGGUCUAGUGGCGCACGGGUGCGUAACGCGUGGGAAUCUGCCCUUUGGUUCGGAAUAACAGUUGGAAACGACUGCUAAUACCGGAUGAUGACGAAAGUCCAAAGAUUUAUCGCCAGAGGAUGAGCCCGCGUAGGAUUAGCUAGUUGGUGUGGUAAAGGCGCACCAAGGCGACGAUCCUUAGCUGGUCUGAGAGGAUGAUCAGCCACACUGGGACUGAGACACGGCCCAGACUCCUACGGGAGGCAGCAGUGGGGAAUAUUGGACAAUGGGCGAAAGCCUGAUCCAGCAAUGCCGCGUGAGUGAUGAAGGCCUUAGGGUUGUAAAGCUCUUUUACCCGGGAUGAUAAUGACAGUACCGGGAGAAUAAGCUCCGGCUAACUCCGUGCCAGCAGCCGCGGUAAUACGGAGGGAGCUAGCGUUGUUCGGAAUUACUGGGCGUAAAGCGCACGUAGGCGGCUUUGUAAGUUAGAGGUGAAAGCCUGGAGC
rnacentral:rRNA from 1 species